rnacentral:rRNA from 1 species
AGCAAACCGGGGGAACUGAAACAUCUAAGUACCCCGAGGAGAAGAAAUCAACCGAGAUUCCGGUAGUAGCGGCGAGCGAACCUGGAUUAGCCCUUAAGCACUCGUUGAAGUAGGUGAACAAGCUGGAAAGCUUGGCGAUACAGGGUGAUAGCCCCGUAACCGACGCUUCAUCGAGCGUGAAAUCGAGUAGGGCGGGACACGUGAUAUCCUGUCUGAAUAUGGGGGGACCAUCCUCCAAGGCUAAAUACUCCUGACUGACCGAUAGUGAACCAGUACCGUGAGGGAAAGGCGAAAAGAACCCCUGUGAGGGGAGUGAAAUAGAACCUGAAACCGUGUACGUACAAGCAGUAGGAGCACCUUCGUGGUGUGACUGCGUACCUUUUGUAUAAUGGGUCAGCGACUUAUAUUCAGUGGCAAGGUUAACCGUAUAGGGGAGCCGUAGCGAAAGCGAGUCUUAACUGGGCGCUCAGUCUCUGGAUAUAGACCCGAAACCGGGUGAUCUAGCCAUGGGCAGGUUGAAGGUUGAGUAACAUCAACUGGAGGACCGAACCGACUAAUGUUGAAAAAUUAGCGGAUGACUUGUGGCUAGGGGUGAAAGGCCAAUCAAACUCGGAGAUAGCUGGUUCUCCCCGAAAGCUAUUUAGGUAGCGCCUCGGACGAAUACUACUGGGGGUAGAGCACUGUUAAGGCUAGGGGGUCAUCCCGACUUACCAACCCUUUGCAAACUCCGAAUACCAGUAAGUACUAUCCGGGAGACACACGGCGGGUGCUAACGUCCGUCGUGGAGAGGGAAACAACCCAGACCGCCAGCUAAGGUCCCAAAGUAUUGCUAAGUGGGAAACGAUGUGGGAAGGCUCAGACAGCUAGGAUGUUGGCUUAGAAGCAGCCAUCAUUUAAAGAAAGCGUAAUAGCUCACUAGUCGAGUCGGCCUGCGCGGAAGAUGUAACGGGGCUAAGCAAUACACCGAAGCUGCGGCAAUGCCUUUUAGGUAUUGGGUAGGGGAGCGUUCUGUAAGCCGUUGAAGGUGGUCUGUAAGGGCUGCUGGAGGUAUCAGAAGUGCGAAUGCUGACAUGAGUAACGACAAAGGGGGUGAAAAACCUCCUCGCCGGAAGACCAAGGGUUCCUGUCCAACGUUAAUCGGGGCAGGGUGAGUCGACCCCUAAGGUGAGGCCGAAAGGCGUAAUCGAUGGGAAACGGGUUAAUAUUCCCGUACUUCUGACUAUUGCGAUGGGGGGACGGAGAAGGCUAGGUGGGCCAGGCGACGGUUGUCCUGGUUCAAGUGCGUAGGCUUAAGAGUUAGGUAAAUCCGGCUCUUUAUAAGGCUGAGACACGACGUCGAGCUGCUACGGCAGUGAAGUCAUUGAUGCCAUGCUUCCAGGAAAAGCCUCUAAGCUUCAGAUAGUCAGGAAUCGUACCCCAAACCGACACAGGUGGUCGGGUAGAGAAUACCAAGGCGCUUGAGAGAACUCGGGUGAAGGAACUAGGCAAAAUGGUACCGUAACUUCGGGAGAAGGUACGCUCUUGAUGGUGAAGUCCCUUGCGGAUGGAGCUGACGAGAGUCGCAGAUACCAGGUGGCUGCAACUGUUUAUUAAAAACACAGCACUGUGCAAAAUCGCAAGAUGACGUAUACGGUGUGACGCCUGCCCGGUGCCGGAAGGUUAAUUGAUGGGGUUAGCGCAAGCGAAGCUCUUGAUCGAAGCCCCGGUAAACGGCGGCCGUAACUAUAACGGUCCUAAGGUAGCGAAAUUCCUUGUCGGGUAAGUUCCGACCUGCACGAAUGGCGUAAUGAUGGCCACGCUGUCUCCACCCGAGACUCAGUGAAAUUGAAAUCGCUGUGAAGAUGCAGUGUACCCGCGGCUAGACGGAAAGACCCCGUGAACCUUUACUACAGCUUGGCACUGAACAUUGAACCUACAUGUGUAGGAUAGGUGGGAGGCUAUGAAGACGUGACGCUAGUUGCGUUGGAGCCGUCCUUGAAAUACCACCCUUGUAUGUUUGAUGUUCUAACUUAGCCCCAUUAUCUGGGGUGAGGACAGUGCCUGGUGGGUAGUUUGACUGGGGCGGUCUCCUCCCAAAGAGUAACGGAGGAGCACGAAGGUGGGCUAAUCACGGUUGGACAUCGUGAGGUUAGUGCAAUGGCAUAAGCCCGCUUAACUGCGAGAAUGACGGUUCGAGCAGGUGCGAAAGCAGGUCAUAGUGAUCCGGUGGUUCUGUAUGGAAGGGCCAUCGCUCAACGGAUAAAAGGUACUCCGGGGAUAACAGGCUGAUACCGCCCAAGAGUUCAUAUCGACGGCGGUGUUUGGCACCUCGAUGUCGGCUCAUCACAUCCUGGGGCUGAAGUCGGUCCCAAGGGUAUGGCUGUUCGCCAUUUAAAGUGGUACGCGAGCUGGGUUUAGAACGUCGUGAGACAGUUCGGUCCCUAUCUGCCGUGGGCGUUGGAAGAUUGAAGGGGGCUGCUCCUAGUACGAGAGGACCGGAGUGGACGAACCUCUGGUGUUCGGGUUGUGUCGCCAGACGCAUUGCCCGGUAGCUAAGUUCGGAAUUGAUAAGCGCUGAAAGCAUCUAAGCGCGAAGCGAGCCCUGAGAUGAGUCUUCCCUGACGGUUUAACCGUCCUAAAGGGUUGUUCGAGACUAGAACGUUGAUAGGCAGGGUGUGUAAGCGUUGUGAGGCGUUGAGCUAACCUGUACUAAUUGCCCGUGAGGCUUAACCA